CUCCUUGACGUUAGCGGCGGACGGGUGAGUAACACGUGGGUAACCUACCUAUAAGACUGGGAUAACUUCGGGAAACCGGAGCUAAUACCGGAUAAUAUUUCGAACCGCAUGGUUCGAUAGUGAAAGGUGGUUUUGCUAUCACUUAUAGAUGGACCCGCGCCGUAUUAGCUAGUUGGUAAGGUAACGGCUUACCAAGGCGACGAUACGUAGCCGACCUGAGAGGGUGAUCGGCCACACUGGAACUGAGACGACGGUCCGGACUCCUACGGGAGGCAGCAGUA
rnacentral:rRNA from 1 species